rnacentral:rRNA from 1 species
GAUGAACGCUGGCGGCGUGCCUAAUACAUGCAAGUCGAGCGAACGGACGAGAAGCUUGCUUCUCUGAUGUUAGCGGCGGACGGGUGAGUAACACGUGGAUAACCUACCUAUAAGACUGGGAUAACUUCGGGAAACCGGAGCUAAUACCGGAUAAUAUUUUGAACCGCAUGGUUCAAAAGUGAAAGACGGUCUUGCUGUCACUUAUAGAUGGAUCCGCGCUGCAUUAGCUAGUUGGUAAGGUAACGGCUUACCAAGGCAACGAUGCAUAGCCGACCUGAGAGGGUGAUCGGCCACACUGGAACUGAGACACGGUCCAGACUCCUACGGGAGGCAGCAGUAGGGAAUCUUCCGCAAUGGGCGAAAGCCUGACGGAGCAACGCCGCGUGAGUGAUGAAGGUCUUCGGAUCGUAAAACUCUGUUAUUAGGGAAGAACAUAUGUGUAAGUAACUGUGCACAUCUUGACGGUACCUAAUCAGAAAGCCACGGCUAACUACGUGCCAGCAGCCGCGGUAAUACGUAGGUGGCAAGCGUUAUCCGGAAUUAUUGGGCGUAAAGCGCGCGUAGGCGGUUUUUUAAGUCUGAUGUGAAAGCCCACGGCUCAACCGUGGAGGGUCAUUGGAAACUGGAAAACUUGAGUGCAGAAGAGGAAAGUGGAAUUCCAUGUGUAGCGGUGAAAUGCGCAGAGAUAUGGAGGAACACCAGUGGCGAAGGCGACUUUCUGGUCUGUAACUGACGCUGAUGUGCGAAAGCGUGGGGAUCAAACAGGAUUAGAUACCCUGGUAGUCCACGCCGUAAACGAUGAGUGCUAAGUGUUAGGGGGUUUCCGCCCCUUAGUGCUGCAGCUAACGCAUUAAGCACUCCGCCUGGGGAGUACGACCGCAAGGUUGAAACUCAAAGGAAUUGACGGGGACCCGCACAAGCGGUGGAGCAUGUGGUUUAAUUCGAAGCAACGCGAAGAACCUUACCAAAUCUUGACAUCCUUUGACAACUCUAGAGAUAGAGCCUUCCCCUUCGGGGGGGCAAAGUGACAGGUGGUGCAUGGUUGUCGUCAGCUCGUGUCGUGAGAUGUUGGGUUAAGUCCCGCAACGAGCGCAACCCUUAAGCUUAGUUGCCAUCAUUAAGUUGGGCACUCUAAGUUGACUGCCGGUGACAAACCGGAGGAAGGUGGGGAUGACGUCAAAUCAUCAUGCCCCUUAUGAUUUGGGCUACACACGUGCUACAAUGGACAAUACAAAGGGCAGCGAAACCGCGAGGUCAAGCAAAUCCCAUAAAGUUGUUCUCAGUUCGGAUUGUAGUCUGCAACUCGACUACAUGAAGCUGGAAUCGCUAGUAAUCGUAGAUCAGCAUGCUACGGUGAAUACGUUCCCGGGUCU